rnacentral:antisense_RNA from 1 species
CCCAUCUGUGCUACUAUAACCACAUGGUCCAUCCCUUGCUUCAAUCAUAGAAUUCUUUCUUCAGAUCAAAGUAUAUUCAGACACCCGAUACAGUAACAAAAGCAAGCUAUCCUGGAAGGAAGAAGGAAUCAGGAGGCAGAGCACAUGGUUAAAGCAUGAGAUGUGAAACCAGGAAGAACCAGGUCUGAAUCUUAGCUCCACCAGUGGUAGCUCCAAACCUUAGUCCUUUCUGAGCCUGCUUCUUCAACCCUAAGGAAUUCGGAAACGGGACCCAGAAAGUUGUUUCCUGCAAGUGGCUGGAACAACACAAGCAAUAAGUAUCCUGAAACAGGCCCUGUUCCAACAAACUGACCCAGAAAGAGGUUACACCAAUUAUCUCUCCAGCAAGUAUGAGGAAUCCUGUUUCCCUACGUUCUCACUACGACAGCAGGAUAUCAAACAUUGAUAUCCACCAAUCUCUGGAUGGAAAAACAAAUCUCAGGAAUCGCUUGCAGGAGGCUCUGCACGUUCCUCAGAUUCAGAGUCGCUGUCCUUUUGCCUGUGAAGCUCCUCACUUUCAGAGUCACUAGCAUUAAGAUUUAAGGGCUCAUCAUUCUCAGAGUCUGUCACAUGAUGUCCUUUGGGGAGGCCAUCUUCUCGAUCACUAGUUUCAUUCUGAAAAAUAAAGUGAGAAAAAAUUAGGAAAGUGCAAAAAAAAAA